CCAGCUCUCUUUGCCAUAUGGCUUAGAUCAAGUGUAGUAUCUGUUCUUUCUAGUUUAACCGCUAGAAUGCCUCUACGGAGGUAUCCUCUAUGGUUAUCCUUAUUUUUGGCUUUGGGCUCCCGACUCACUGCGCUUGCGCAUAGUCGGGGGCCACAGUGACGCUUCUAUCUGCACCACUUGAGGCUGUCGCAAACGUUG
rnacentral:snRNA from 1 species